UCAUUUUAGCACAACUGCUUCAGGCUGGUUUGUUCAUCUUCAUCGCGAAGAGAAAGUGUCAUCACAAAACCUCCAAUUGAGACCGUGGUGUUAUACGAAAGAGAGAUAAGGGCCAAAUAAGAAAAACUCAUAUUUUAUUAACUCCCAAUGCGCUGACAUGUUUUUCCACCAGGAGUCAUGACUGACCCACUGCCACGGGCAUGCUCGGGGCGUCGAUUGUUCGGCGUAAGUUGUAUUUUUGGCCUAAACUAAGUUUGAGCUCCCUUGUGUCCCUGAAUCAGAGUAAAUUUUAGUUUAGACACAGCACAACCGUUUCUCCCGAUCACACACACGUCAUGUCACAUUUUCCCCACAGUCAUUAUUGGCAUUUUUAUAAAAACCAACACACCCAAUUAUUUUGGGUCAUUUUUUUUUUUUUUUUGCCGCCCCACUCACAAUUACAACCCUCUCGUUCAUUUUGUUUUUUUCUUUUACAAUAAGGCCGAUCUCCCAUGACACAAAUGACAAAUGUCAGCGUUUAACCGGUGAGGUUUGUCACCUCGGCGCGACCACAGCCCGUGUUUAGCUUCACACGUCGCGGCAGCAAAGAGAAGUUAGCAAGAGGUGCCGGUACGAUAGACUGAAUCUCUGAAGUUGUUAGAUCUUACAGUCCCACAAAGUGAAUAACAAACACAGGAAUAUGACUCGGCUCACGGCAAAGCCUUUCACAGACAUCUCCAAACAAUGAAACUUUAUUUUAGAUAAAGUUUUGUUGACCCAAGAAUUUACCUGCAACAAAAGACACUGUGCGCCUCUUAAAGCUCUUUAAGUAUUGAAAACAAAGUGGGAGAAAUAAUAAUAAUAAUAAUAAUAACACCUAUAUAAAUCUCAAUAUUUUCACCACAGCCUAUGAUAAACACACAGAAUUGAGAUUGUUCUGGAAAAACUAAAUUCAUUCAUCUGAUUAUUUACACUCGUUUAACGUUCCGAAUCUUGGUUUUGGAGAACAUUUAAGACCUAGCUUCAGCACCAAGUACCAUUAUUUAUCCCAAAUAUAAAUCUACACCUUGAGGGGGAAAAAAAAAAACAACAUUUCGCAGCUGUAACAACUCAGAAAACAUUUCAGUGUUAAAUCUACUGAGGUUGACGUAAAUCAUGGUCAUCCGUUACACAAACGCAACAGUAAUGCUCGGUCAGUUGACGUCGCCUUUCUAUUUGAUACAGAUUCAAGAAGAAGC